rfam:Helianthus annuus linkage group 3, whole genome shotgun sequence.
GACUCUCGGCAACGGAUAUCUCGGCUCACGCAUCGAUGAAGAACGUAGCAAAAUGCGAUACUUGGUGUGAAUUGCAGAAUCCCGUGAACCAUCGAGUUUUUGAACGCAAGUUGCGCCCGAAGCCAUUCGGUUGAGGGCACGUCUGCCUGGGCGUCA